rnacentral:lncRNA from 1 species
UCUCAAUAAACACUCUAAGACAUUUUUAUUAAACAUUUUUAGGAAACCAGACACAUGUGUUAUAGUUGAUAUUCCUAAUUAAAAAAAAAAAAAAAAAAGAUUACAACAGCAACAACACAGUUAUUCCAUGUACCAAUGAGAGUGGCUCAUUGUUUUGGCUACACUUUUUUUUGCUGCAGAGAAGAAGCUAUAAAACAUGUCCCUCUAAGAAGCGUGCAUGUCAAAGGCAAGGCUCUGAGAUGACAACAGUCACAUUUGUCUUCCUAACACUCUUCAUUUGGGUUUUGUCAUGUGACACAUGGCUCAACCUGGACCAGUAUGAGCAUUAUGAAGAAACAAAGGCCUUUGCUGCAUUGUGUAAAAAUGUUGCCAUUCAUGACAAUGACAACACAAAACUAACACAGACAUGUGACAGAAUUUCUGAAAUGAGUGUUGGCUCUAAUAAUAUUUUCACACAAGAGAUCAAAACAGACUGUACAGUUUAUGUGGAUCUGGCUUUGAACUGCAUGGCCUCCAAUGGAUGUGUACACCUGCUUCAAGAAUAUAGGUACACUGUGAAAGAAGAUAAGGAAAGCAAGCAUGUACAUAAAUGUAGAAUUCUGCAGUUCUUGGUAUAUUUGCUGUCCAAGACCAACUGUGUUCUACACGUGACACAGCAGAUGUCAUCCAAGGUCUAUUCAACACACUACCCAAAAGAAGUGUUUCUAACACCAGCAGAUGGCGUCAGAGUUACUGUUUACACGGGCAAAAUUGUGCAGCCAACAGAUUCCAGUAAAUGGGUGGGCAAAAUUUUUCAGGCAGCUCUGUUGCUGUUUGCGAUGCACAUGACAAGAAUAGACAUGUCAUCAAGCAGAGUCAGCCUGCAUCAUAACUGCAACUUUUCACCAUCAGUCAACAUGUACCAGCCAUCUCAGUGGUGUAUAAUACUUGCAUGCUUGACCAGUGUAGUGGGGAGAACUGUUCAUGUAUUAAUUAUCUUCAAGGCAGCUCAUCCUGUCAUGAAAUUGUCUUUUUCAACACACUAUCGAUUAAAUGCCCUACUUGUUACUGUGUUGCUCAUCUGGCUGACAUUUAGUAUUUUUUUCCUCAAUAAUAACAUGAAACAUAUGUCAAAAGACCUACUUAUUGAGGGAACUGAUGGAUCAGCACUGAGAUCCUGGGGUGUGUUAAGGCAGAUAGAGCUAUUAGCUACUUUGUGCUGUGUGUUAGUUUCCCUUUCAAGUUUGCGACAAUCCAUCCUAACAAAAGUCAGUUUCUUGAGUAUCCUUUUUCAUGUGCAAUUGGUCACCUGCCACCAGAAUUCUAGGAUCCCAACAAAGUAUCUCUUAAUUGUCAAGAUCAAUAGGUUAAUUUGAAGGUCAUUUUCAAGCAUCCAUCUCUCUCCACUACAGCUGUCAUAUGAAAUGUGAAAACAAAAUGAACAUUUGUAUUAAUGCAGAUUAAAGCUGUAUAAUAAAAG